rnacentral:misc_RNA from 1 species
UCAAAUCUGAGAGAACUGAUUUCUGAAAGAACAAACACCCAGAAUCAAUUUGGAGAAGAACAAUUACCAGUAAGAAUGGGCAAUUGUAAAAUGCAAUAUGCAUAUUAAUUUCCUACUUAUAGAUAAUUGUCUUCCCAUGUAACUACCAGGACCUAUUAAUGACAAGAAGCCACAGAAAUAUUGGUCAAUCUUCAAUUAGGUUGUAUCUGAUGCACAUGUAGCGAUAAGAAAACCCAACAAAAGCCAAAUAAAAAUUUCAACAAGUGAAAUAAAAGGCAUCUACCUCAUACAACUCAUGGGCCCUGUUCUAAUUACAAAGAGUAAUGCAGAAAUUUAGGCUUGUUAAUUUGAAUGCAGUACAACCUUGUUCCAAAAUAAUAACUUUACGAUCUAGAAAUUUCCUAUAAUUUAUUCUAUUUAUUUCUCCCGUAAUAAGUGCACCCCAUCCGAAAAUAAGUAUAUUUAUAUGUGGGUACAUGCACACGCAAACGCAAGCGUGCAUGCACACAAUUCAGAAGAUUCAAACUUUACAACAUUCCAAUAAAAGACAAACAAGGGGCAAAAUGUUUAAGCAUGUGACAUUGUGUUCCCAAUAACCAAUGGAAGGUUAACCCUUUUAUAAACAUUUUCCAGAAUAAAUGGCUUAACAUCCAACCACAAACUAACUCUUGAUUAUGAAUUGUUAAAAAAUUUACAUUUCAUUGGAUGCCAUUUUGGUAAGCUUUUAAAUGUUCUCAGGUGCCUACUACUAAUGGUGAUUUAUGUCCAUACUAAAGGUCUUAGGUUUUUCCACAGUGCAGGCAUCCACAAUCAAUCUUCCGCUAAUAAAUAAAGAGGAAUUCCAUAACUUGAAGUAUCACUUCAGAUUGAACUGUAUAGUUCAACCAAUUCAUAUCACCAGCAACUGAUAUCUCCAGUAAAGACAACAAAGAUUCAUGUAUGCUUUCAACUACAUUCCCUGCUCAUUUCAUACCAUUAACAGACCCUGAAUAAGUACUCAGGGGUGAUGUAGCACAGUGGAAUAAAACAAUUUGAUAAGGCUAUUGCAUGCAGCUCUUUUCAAGACAUUUUUGUCCAAUAUACUGAUAGAACCUUACAGGUGAGACUACAAUGAGAAUUAAGAAUGUAGAAAAGUAAGUAGUGGAUUAAUUAAUUCAUAAAUUCUUCUAGAGUCAGCGAUCUUGAGGCCUAAUAAUCAAGGGCUUCUUGCAAUAAGUUGGAUAGAUUAAAGUUUGAAUAUUGACUAAAUGGAUCUGAAUUCCCUCAUGCAGAUUGAAACAUAUAAUAACUUUUGUAUAACUCCAACCGCUUGUCAAUUUUAGAUUAAAUAAGUGAAAUUUUUGUUAAAAAAAAUCAAUUUUAUAUUUUCAGAAAGUAAGCUAAACCAUUCAUUUUGAAUUCAGAUUGAAUUAUACAUCUAUGACAGUAGCACGAAGAACUAAUAUAAAUAUUAAAAAAGAAUCAUAAUAUAUGCUUUGAUUACGCCCAAUCAACUUCACACUGCAGCAGUCCAUGACAAAAACUGAGAUAUCAAUUCGUUCAAGUAAAGACCUGAAGAAAUCAGUUCAAACAAAACAAUUUAUCAUUUCGCUUUGAGAAGUCUCAAAGAUUCAAUAUUUCCACUUUGUCACAACUUCCCAACAAUACCUGAGCUAAACUCUACAACUGCCAUGAAAUACACAAACCCAAAACCCUGAAUAUACAUGUACGCACAAACAAUUCAAGUCAAUUCAAUUCAAAGAAAGAAAAUAGAAUCUACAAACACUAACCUUAUCAGUAGAACCCGACUUGCG